CUCACACAGUCCAGCUGGGCUCCUGCUACAUUGCAUGACAGCUUGCAAAGGGCAGGCAGCUCCAGGGCUGCUUCCAGGACCGACCUCCAAAGAUUUCAGUCUGAAAAGAGCUGGGAUGUUCUGUGCAGUGCCCAAGGAAACCUUCCUGAGGAGCAGCUGCCUGGGCAUGGGGAAGGAGCUGGGAUGGCUGCUCAGGCUGAGGAGCAGGGAGGAUUUCCUCAGCAUCCCUCAAGGCAAGGCAGGGGGAAGGUCUGCUCAGCCACAGGAGGGACCCAGAUGCUGCUGCCAUCACUAAACCCUCAGCCCUGGGGAGCCAAGCUCUACCUCCAGCCCCAGGCUCUGCACUGAGAUUCUCCUGGAAAAUCAGACUCAGUGCUUCAAACAGAGUCUGGAACAAGUGGUUGGCUGUCCAUGAAGUGCUUGGAGGAAAAGGCAGCAGCAGGAUAAGGUUAUUCUAUGGAUUGGGCUGUGCUACAGUUGGCCCAGGCACAGCCAGAGAACUCAGCCAGCAUUGUCCAUCCUCCAGUGCACACCCACCACGCAGAGCACACCUUGUCUGAGCUGAUGGCUCUUCACAGGAUCCUUCUGCUUGAGAAAUGAUAUCACAGCUCAUAUCCGUGUCCACUUGAGGUCUGGAGCGUUGCUAAGAGAAAAACAAUUCUUGGCAAAUCCCUGGAAGUGCUUGCCUCCUCCGGUUUGGAUGAAGACAGUUUGUUCAGUGCAGAUGGGUAGGUGUGAGCUUCUGUCUCUUCGCCUUCUGAGAAUUGUUUUCGCCAGUGCAAAACUGAAGAUGAUAAUGCUCCCAUUAAAAAUGAGGUGAAUGCUCAGGCUAACAUGAGUGGGUGGAAAGGACUUCAAACAGGAUGAAUCUGGGGACAAACCUACCCUUGCCAAGACAAACAGCUGCAGAGAGCUGCAGGAAAGGAAAAGGGCACUUCUGUUCAAAAUGAUUCAGUCACACAGGGCUGAUUGAGGCUGUGUAUCCAUCAAUUUAAAACAAAAACCAAUGGCUUUCAUAUGAAGAAAGAAAAGGAGCAUCGUAUGUCACACAGGAGGACUGGAGAGCUGCUAUCAUUAGGACAACAAACUGAUAUUCCAUAGGACAGUGGAGAUAUGGGAUGAGAGCAAAGCAGAAAGCUGUCUCUCUCCUUCCUACAUCUGUCUUUGAUUUGCUUUGCCUCUAUCUGCCUGUUGUUGAUGUUUUCUCACAUUAUCUUGGUCCCUUUGUUCAAGCUGCAUUUCAUUCCAGGAAGGCAGGGAGCUCCAGGUGUGAAUGAGGGCUGUGAGCAUGAACUCCCUGUCACAGUUAUUAUUGUUACCAUUCCUCUGAAAACCAGCCUGGUGGAGGUUUGGCUCUGUGUUAUUUGUUCUGCUGUUUUAACUGUAUCCUUGUUAAAUGUGGGAAAUGGAAUGCUAGUGGAAUGGAAAUGUGGAAAGGGGAAUGAAGUGCAGUGCUUUGCACGAUGGCUUGCACCCAAAGGUGCAGCCUUAGCUAAUGAAGUGCUGUCAUGCUGUGGAGCAAGAUGUUUGAGAUUGCAGGAUUGGGACCUGCUGCUCAAAUGAAUCAGGUAUUCAGGACUUGCUGCUCUUCUUUGUAAUGGGAGAAACUGUGUGUUAAAAAAGCUAAUACAGAAUUUUCAAUGCUC